rnacentral:snRNA from 1 species
CGGACGUCUUCGGCGUUCG